UUAUUCAAAAUGGCCAGGUUAGGGUCCUCUUCUUAGGAUCAGAAGGCACUACUGACCACCAGCAUUCUUUCCAACCAGGCAGUUCCAUCCAGGAACAGGUAUCCUUGUUGGUAACUGCAGCCAAGAGUCUGUGCAUUAGAGGUUAAGCGUCGUGUUCAAGAUCACAAAGCCAGUGAAUGGCUGAGCUGGGACUCCAACUCCAAGUCUUCUGACUCAAAUCCAGUGACUUACUCAACACAAACUUUCUGAAUACAAAUGGUUGUCCUAUGUAUGGCAGUGUAUUAAGAAGGGCCACCAGCCCACUGAUUUAUUCACUUUUCAGUUUAUACUUGGACAUGGAUAAAAUCCUAUGGACUUGCUGAACCAAAAGAAAUGAGCAUUUUGAAGCCUUUGAACAUUUUGUCAAAUGACCCUCCAAGAGAAUGUAAACUCUCGCUCAGCGCCAAGCACAGCAUCAUCAGUGCCUGUCAAAGUGCCUCGCAUAUAGUUCAUCCUCGAUAAAUACAUGUUGAAUAGAUGAAUGCACAGGAAAAAGGAAAUAAUUUUAGUAUUGCGCUAACCAAGCAUAAUACUCAAGCUAAAACUAAUGUAAAACUUACCACCAGCUGCCUUCCGGAAACAAGUGAAAAAAGACAAGAGACACCACAAACAAUGGUGAGUCAAGACUGGUCAGUAACUACAGAUCCCAAAGCUCCAGCUGAAGAUGGCUCUCCUACAUCAGACUGAUCUAGGAGAAC
rnacentral:lncRNA from 1 species